CCAAGGAGUCUAGCAUGUGCGCGAGUCAUUGGGACUCUUGACGAAACCUAAAGGCGCAAUGAAAGUGAAGGUUCGCCACGCGCGAACCGAGGGAGGAUGGACGGUCGAUCGUGGCCGUCCCGCACUCCCUGGGCGUCUCGUUCUCAUCGCGAGAAGAGGCGCACCAAGAGCGUACACGCUGGGACCCGAAAGAUGGUGAACUAUGCCUGGUCAGGACGAAGUCAGGGGAAACCCUGAUGGAGGUCCGUAGCGAUUCUGACGUGCAAAUCGAUCGUCGGAACUGGGUAUAGGGGCGAAAGACUAAUCGAACCAUCUAGUAGCUGGUUCCCUCCGAAGUUUCCCUCAGGAUAGCUGGCGCUCGCUUCUCGCGAGUCUCAUUCGGUAAAGCGAAUGAUUAGAGGCAUUGGGGUCGAAACGGCCUCAACCUAUUCUCAAACUUUAAAUGGGUGAGAUCUCCGGCUUGCUUGAACUGUGAAGCCGCGAGAUAUCGGAUCAGAGUGCCAAGUGGGCCACUUUUGGUAAGCAGAACUGGCGCUGUGGGAUGAACCAACGCCGAGUUAAAGCGCCUAAAUCGACGCUUAUGGGAUACCAUGAAAGGCGUUGGUAACUUAAGACAGCAGGACGGUGKCCAUGGAAGUCGGAAUCCGCCAAGGAGUGUGUAACAACUCACCUGCCGAAGUUACUAGCCCUGAAAAUGGAUGGCGCUGAAGCGUCGUGCUUAUACUCUGCCGUCAGCGGCAUGUGAGACGGUCCUUAAGAGGUCGUCAUGAAGCCCUGACGAGUAGGAGGGUCGCGGCGGUGAGCGCAGAAGGACCAGGCGCGAGCCAGUCUGGAGCCGCCGUCGGUGCAGAUCUUGGUGGUAGUAGCAAAUACUCCAGCGAGGCCCUGGAGGACUGACGUGGAGAAGGGUUUCGUGUGAACAGCCGUUGCACACGAGUCAGUCGAUCCUAAGCCAUAGGCGAAAGCCGAUGUCGAUGCGGUGUAUCUUUCGGUGUCUGUAUGCGCGCGGCUUUUUCUACUGCUGCUGCUGCUGUUAGGGCGGAGAGACUCACACCCGUCGGGCGAAAGGGAAUCCGGUUCCUAUUCCGGAACCCGGCAGCGGAACCGUUAUUAAGUCGUGCCCUCAUUCAGAGAGUUCGUCGGGGCAACCCAAAAGGACCUGGAAACGCCGCCGGGAGAUCCGGGAAGAGUUUUCUUUUCUGCAUAAGCGCUCGAGUUCCAUGGAAUCCUCUAGCAGGGAGAUAUGGUUUGGAGCGCGAAGAGCACCGCAGUUGCGGCGGUGUCCGGAUCUUCCCCUCGGACCUUGAAAAUCCAGGAGAGGGCCACGUGGAGGCGUCGCGCCGGUUCGUACCCAUAUCCGCAGCAG
rnacentral:rRNA from 1 species